AUUACGUUCAACCCCCAAGCAGAAGCCACUCAGGAAGAUGCAGGAGGGAUCCAGCGGCUGGCAGGACCAGAGAAGAGAAGAGAGAAUUCCCCCGCGCCCACCGCAGGGAGGUGGAGCUCAGGAGGUCCUAGUGUCAGAAAUGAAUCCAAACUCCCUCUUGUUUUCCCAUCCAGAAAGACCUGAAGUUAUACGUCAAUGCUAUGGAGGAUGUUGAUUGGCUGCGUCUUUUAUGGCGUGAUGCUGCCCCUGGUAUGCAAGCUAUGCAAUCAGAUCACGCGGGAUGUUGACGCCAUAGUAGUCCUCCCGUUCCACUGAGGAGAGAAGCCCCAGGAGGGGGCUCCAGCACUCGGAACACUGCGGGUAGCCGGCGUCCGCUGCUCUGUCUGUUCUCUGCCCCUCUUCCAUCGCAGGACACCACCCCCUCGGACCCGGGACAUGCUCGACCCUGCCCUCAGUGUGGGGCCAGGAUGGGGGCUGGACUGGCACCCGGGACUCCAGGCUUCCUGUCCUGUUCCUGCUCACAGCACGACCCUUCCCUCAGUGUGGAGCCAGCAUGGGGGAUGGACUGCAGUAUGGGGGCUGGACUGGCACCCGCGAUUCCAUGCAUCCUGUCCCGUUUCUGCUCAGAGCCAUCACACAGGCACAGACCAGUCUCCAUGGAAGCAUCUUGGCUGGGGACUGCCAUGUGAUGGUCUCUGUGGUGAGACUGCAGUCAGUGUCAGCUGUGGCUGAUGUCUUCUGAAUGCCAGACUGAGGCUGGAGGAGCCACCUCCAGGUGAAACACCCUCAUGGAUGGCAGAAAUUAUGGAACAGCUGGUUAAGUGACAAUUUGCAAUAUUGGCAUUUUAUAUAAAGAGCCAAUUCAAGAACAAUGUUGCUCUGAUUCUGACCUAUGUUCCUGUUUAUGAACCUGGGAAGGCAGAUGAAGCUGGCUCAAGAGAUGACCUGCAUGGAAUUACUGAGUCCUGGCAUUGGCCUAUACUGGACCUGGAUUUUGGCCAUCCGAGGAGUGAAGCAAUACAUAAAACUGCUCUUUUUCUCUACCUCCCUCUCCCUGUAUCAUUUGGUCACUCCUUCCCUCUGCUCCACCUUUCAAAGAAAAAUUAAUAACUAUUUUUUCAUGCUUUGUUGUUAGUCUUAUUAAAUUAUGUUAAUUGCCCUAUUUUAAUAUUAUUUAAGGGAUGUAGAUUUCAUGCCAUUAAUAUGUACAAAUUUAGGAACUUAAUGAUAAUUAUAACCCUACCUCCCUCCCACCUAUAUUCCCAUCCUUCUUCCUCCUCCCUCUACCACUCCCAUUUUUAUUUUUUACAGAGACCUCUUUUCAAUUAACUUUAUACUCAUAAGAUUAACUAGACUAAGUAGAAGGAUCAACAAUAGUGUGAAGAAAAAAAUCAUAAGAAGCAGAAAAGAAACAAAAAGCAAUGUUCCUCAAUAGUCAAGUUAGGACUGUUCAAAAUCAUUGCAUGAUAAAGUGCCAAUUUCACUCCCAUAGAUUACCUUUUAGGUACUAUACUAGUUAGCACAGAUCAGAGAGAAUAUAUGGUAUUUGUCUUUUUGGACUGGCUUAUUUCACUAAGUAUAAUGGUUUCAAGUUGCAAUCAUUUUGUU